AGGAUGGGUCUGCGGCCGAUUAGGUUGUUGGUGGGGUAACGGCCCAACAAGCCUGUAAUCGGUACGGGCUGUGAGAGCAAGAGCCCGGAGAUGGAAUCUGAGACACUAUUCCCAGCCCUACGGGGUGCAGCAGGCGGGAAAACUUUGCAAUGCGCGAAAGCGUGACAGGGGAAGCCAGAGUGCCUCUUUUUGGAAAAGCUUUUGUGAGAUGUAAAAAGUCUUACGAAUAAGGACCGGGAAAGACUGGUGCCAGCCGCCGCGGUAAUCCCAGGGGCCCAAGUCGCAGCCACAUUUAUUGGGUCUAAAGCAUCCGUAGCUCGCCUUACAAGUCUUGUGUGAAAUCGGGCAGCUUAAGUGUCCGGCGUGCACAAGAUACUGUUUGGCUAGAGACCGGGAGGCGUAUCGAGUACAGAUAGGGUAGCGGUAAAAUGUGUUAAUCCUAUCCGGACUAACAAUGGCGAAGGCACGAUACGAGAACGGUUCUGACAGUGAGGGAUGAAGGCUAGGGGCGCAAAGUGGAUUAGAUACCCAUGUAGUCCUAGCAGUAAACACUGCACACUAGGUGUUGGGGCCUCCUCGAGAGGUUUCAGCGCUGUAGGGAAGCCGUAGAGUGUGCUGCCUGGGAAGUAUAGUCGCAAGACUGAAACUUAA
rnacentral:rRNA from 1 species